CAUUGGUCCCUUUCUGUUUCCCUGGCAUCCCAGAGAAGCCCAAGAAACGGCUCUGGGAGGAGCAGAGGAGUGAAUGAGGGCUGAAUAAGCAACCCUCUUCACCCCCAGCCAGGGCCCUAGAAGGGGUUAGGACUUCACAGAAGCAAGGAACAACAUGGCUACCUUACCCUAGCCAAGGGGGAUAGUGUGGUGAAUAAGGGGGUCUUACUACUCCUUCAGCCGGGAGUGGGUAGAGAUGCUUGGAGGAAUGGUGAGCACAGACUUGGGUGCAGACUACCUGUGCUGAUGACUUCCUGGACCCGCAUUUUCCUGGAGAAGCUGAGGAUGAAGUGCUAGGAUUGAGUUCUAAAUGGCAUAUCUGUGGAUGAAUCUAUGCUAUUAUGUUGGAAAAACAUCUCAGAUGGGGCAGCAGAGAUAUGACUUCUCACGUUGUCAAGAGGAUGAAGAUCAAUGGAUGGCUGCAAGCAAGGUGGCAUGUAUCGGGUGAACAUGGAUCAGGAGACAAAGGGGGACUUUACCAACUAGCCCCCAACAACAGAUAAGAACUCUGAGUCUUCAGUGUGGCCCAGGGACAUCUAAGGAGAGAGGAGGGGACUUCAUGUGGACUUCAUGCAGAGCUGGUAGGACAUGAAGAAAUGGCCCUGCCAGGACCCUCCAUACAGAAGGCUCAUUUCAGUUUAGAGGCUACAGCCCAACUUCGGUUUCUUUUACUCAUUGUCUUACUAGAUGGCCUUGAACCCCAGGGCAUUUCAAUGGCACUAAAAUGUAUUGUUAUGUCUUUUAUGUCUCACUGGAAGAUAUGUGCUUUAUGGACUUUGGCUGUGGCUUUCUAUGUCCUCUGGUGAGGAAGCUGUCUGUUCAGCUCCCAGCCAGGAACCUCUUACUUGCCUCCCUGCUCUCCUGGAGCUACAUGCAAGUAGCUCCUAUCACCAGGCGAGCCUUUGGUCUCUGCUGUGGGUGAGGUACCAGUCCCACUUACAGUUCUGAAGUCCUGUUGCCCACUGGGAGAUGAUCACAGAGGUUGCAUGAAGAGCAGAGGAACAAUCGUUGCACUCAACUCUGAAUUACAGGAAAGCUGGAGUCUGGGCGCCUUCUGAGCCUGAAUCUUGAAAGCUCUCAUGACACCUGGGGCUCACCCGCUUUUCCUAUGGGCCGAGACGCUUUGCUGGGGGAGCCUGCCUUUGGCUUCCUGGGGUAGUUGUGGGUACCAUGGUAACAACAGUCAGAUUCCAAGGACUUCCUGUUCUGGGUUCUGGUGUCAGCUCAGCUUGAGGCUUCAGGCUAUGGGCUGAGGGGAGACAAGGCUGUCAUAAAACAGACUGAGUGACAGCUCCUCGGCAAGACCAAUGGGUGUCGUGAGCUUCCUCUAGCCUCCCUCUCAUGGCAGCAGUGCUAUACUUGUCCAGGGGACCACAUCAAUAUCCUUAUAGCACCUGAGCCACCUGAAGGGUCCAUCCUCUAAUCUUUAAUCCCUUUCACUGGAAACACUUUAGGUCCUACCCAGCUCUGGCAUUUGGGGUAUUCAGGUGUUUGGACAAAACAACAUUUCAAUAAAAAUCACACUUUAGAGCACAAAUGGACUUUGGGAGCCCAUUCCCUAUGGAGGGAUACUAUUGCAGCUCAGAUACAGCAAGGAGGGGCUAGACCCUCCCCCAAACAAUAUGAUAGA